rnacentral:rRNA from 1 species
GAUGAACGCUGGCGGCGUGCCUAAUACAUGCAAGUCGAGCGAGAGGCGGACGGGUGAGUAAUGUCUGGGAAACUGCCUGAUGGAGGGGGAUAAGUACUGGAAACGGUAGCUAAUACCGCAUACCAUCAGAUGUGCCCAGAUGGGAUUAGCUAGUAGGUGGGGUAAUGGCUCACCUAGGCGACGAUCCCUAGCUGGUCGGAGAGGAUGACCAGCCACACUGGAACUGAGACACGGUCCAGACCCUUACGGGAGGCAGCAGUGGGGAAUAUUGCACAAUGGGCGCAAGCCUGAUGCAGCCAUGCCGCGUGUGUGAAGAAGGCCUUCGGGUUGUAAAGCACUUUCAGCGGGGAGGCGUUACUCGCAGAAGAAGCACCGGCUAACUCCGUGCCAGCAGCCGCGGUAAUAC